CAGCAGCCGCGGUAAUACGAAGGGUGCAAGCGUUAAUCGGAAUUACUGGGCGUAAAGCGUGCGUAGGCGGUUUGUUAAGUCUGUUGUGAAAUCCCCGGGCUCAACCUGGGAAUGGCAAUGGAUACUGGCAAGCUAGAGUGUGUCAGAGGAUGGUGGAAUUCCCGGUGUAGCGGUGAAAUGCGUAGAGAUCGGAAGGAACAUCAGUGGCGAAGGCGGCCAUCUGGGACAACACUGACGCUGAGGCACGAAAGCGUGGGGAGCAAACAGGAUUAGAUACCCGCGUAGUCCCUGUCUCUUAUAC
rnacentral:rRNA from 1 species